rnacentral:piRNA from 1 species
UGGAAGGAACGAGGGUUGCUGAUGAGGA